rnacentral:rRNA from 1 species
UGCCAGCCGCCGCGGUAAUACGGAGGGUGCAAGCGUUAAUCGGAAUUACUGGGCGUAAAGCGCGCGUAGGCGGCGCGAUAAGCCAGAUGUGAAAGCCCAGGGCUUAACCUUGGAACUGCAUUUGAUACUGGUAAUCUUGAGUACAGUAGAGGGAGGUGGAAUUUCAGGUGUAGCGGUGAAAUGCGUAGAUAUCUGAAGGAACAUCAGUGGCGAAGGCGACCUUCUGGACUGAUACUGACACUGAGGUGCGAAAGCGUGGGGAGCGAACAGGAUUAGAUA